CCUACGGGGUGCUGCAGUGGGGAAUAUUGGGCAAUGGGCGCAAGCCUGACCCAGCAACGCCGCGUGAAGGAAGAAGGCUUUCGGGUUGUAAACUUCUUUUAAGAGGGAAGAGCAGAAGACGGUACCUCUUGAAUAAUCCACGGCUAACUACGUGCCAGCAGCCGCGGUAAUACGUAGGUGGCAAGCGUUGUCCGGAUUUACUGGGUGGAAAGGGCGUGCAGCCGGGAAGACAAGUCAGAUGUGAAAUCCCGCGGCUCAACCGCGGAACUGCAUUUGAAACUGUUUUUCUUGAGUACCGGAGAGGGCAUCGGAAUUCGUUGUGUAGCGGUGAAAUGCGUAGAUAUAAGGAAGAACAC
rnacentral:rRNA from 1 species